GCAUAUCAAUAAGCGGAGGAAAAGAAACCAACCGGGAUUGCCUUAGUAACGGCGAGUGAAGCGGCAAAAGCUCAAAUUUGAAAUCUGGUACCUUUGGUGCCCGAGUUGUAAUUUGGAGAGGGCAACUUUGGGACCGUUCCUUGUCUAUGUUCCUUGGAACAGGACGUCAUAGAGGGUGAGAAUCCCGUGUGGCGAGGAGUGCGGUUCUAUGUAAAGUGCCUUCGAAGAGUCGAGUUGUUUGGGAAUGCAGCUCUAAGUGGGUGGUAAAUUCCAUCUAAAGCUAAAUAUUGGCGAGAGACCGAUAGCGAACAAGUACAGUGAUGGAAAGAUGAAAAGAACUUUGAAAAGAGAGUGAAAAAGUACGUGAAAUUGUUGAAAGGGAAGGGCAUUUGAUCAGACAUGGUGUUUUGCGCCCUCUGCUCCUUGUGGGUGGGGGAAUCUCGCAGUUCACUGGGCCAGCAUCAGUUUUGGUGGCAGGAUAAAUCCGUAGGAAUGUAACUUGCUUCGGGAAGUAUUAUAGCCUAUGGGAAUACUGCCAGCUGGGACUGAGGACUGCGACGUAAGUCAAGGAUGCUGGCAUAAUGGUUAUAUGCC
rnacentral:rRNA from 1 species